rnacentral:rRNA from 1 species
CCAGCACCCGCGGUAAUUCCAGCUCCAAUAGCGUAUAUUAAAGUUGCUGCAGUUAAAAAGCUCGUAGUUGGAUUUGUGGUGCGACAGACCGGUCCGACCUUUGGUGGGUACUCGGUGAUGUUGCGCCAUCCUUGAGGGGUACGUCCUGGCAUUAAGUUGUCGGGGCGGUGUCCGCUCAUCGUUUACUGUGAGAAAAUUAGAGUGUUCAAAGCAGGCUUAUGCCGUUGAAUAUGCUAGCAUGGAAUAAUAAGAUAGGACCUCGGUACUAUUUUGUUGGUUUGAGAACCAAGGUAAUGAUCAAUAGGGACAGUUGGGGGUAUUCGUAUUCAGUUGUCAGAGGUGAAAUUCUUAGAUUUACGGAAGACGAACUACUGCGAAAGCAUUUACCAAGGAUGUUUUCAUUAAUCAAGAACGAAAGU